AAUAAAAUCUUUAAUAAAUAAAUAAGAUUAGAACAAUACAGAGAAGAUUAGCAUGGCCCCUGUGUAAGGAUGACAUGCAAAUUUGUGAAGUGUUCCAUUAUUUU